rnacentral:misc_RNA from 1 species
GUUUGACUCAUUGAUUUUGAUUUGAUUUAAACCAGUCCUGUUUCGGAUUUGAAUCAGACUGCGGUUAGGUUUAGACCCAGCCACCAUUGGAACAAUAUAUAUGGGGGAUCUAAUAAUUUUGUAUAUGGGUUUUACAUAUUUGCAUAUGUGGUCUAUUCUCAUUUUCUACUCUCCAAAAAUUGUAGAGCCCAUGUGGUAGCAAUAGAUCAAUAAAGUAGACAGCUCACAAUCAGUGAGCUUUAGCUAAGUGAUAUUGGAAUCAUCUAGGUUUCGAGUUCGAGUCAUAGUCGGAGUCA